CCUACGGGAGGCAGCAGUGAGGAAUCUUGGUCAAUGGACGAGAGUCUGAACCUGCCAAGUAGCGUGAAGGAUGACUGCCCUAUGGGUUGUAAACUUCUUUUAUAUGGGAAUAAAAUGUUCCACGUGUGGGAUUUUGUAUGUACCCUAUGAAUAAGGAUCGGCUAACUCCGUGCCAGCAGCCGCGGUAAUACGGAGGAUCCGAGCGUUAUCCGGAUUUAUUGGGUUUAAAGGGAGCGUAGGUGGAUUGUUAAGUCAGUUGUGAAAGUUUGCGGCUCAACCGUAACAUUGCAGUUGAAACUGGCAGUCUUGAGUACAGUAGAGGUGGGCGGAAUUCGUGGUGUAGCGGUGAAAUGCUUAGAUAUCACGAAGAACUCCGAUGGCGAAGGCAGUUCACUGGACUGCAACUGACACUGAGGCUCGAAAGUGUGGGUAUCAAACAGGAUUAGAUACCCUUGUAGUC
rnacentral:rRNA from 1 species